GACGAACGCUGGCGGCGUGCUUAACACAUGCAAGUCGAACGGUGAAGCAGGAGCUUGCUCCUGUGAAUCAGCGGCGGACGGGUGAGUAACACGUGGGCAACUUGCCUGUAAGACUGGGAUAACUUCGGGAAACCGAAGCUAAUACCGGAUAGGAUCUUCUCCUUCAUGGGAGAUGAUUAAAAGAUGGUUUCGGCUAUCACUUACAGAUGGGCCCGCGGUGCAUUAGCUAGUUGGUGAGGUAACGGCUCACCAAGGCAACGAUGCAUAGCCGACCUGAGAGGGUGAUCGGCCACACUGGGACUGAGACACGGCCCAGACUCCUACGGGAGGCAGCAGUAGGGAAUCUUCCGCAAUGGACGAAAGUCUGACGGAGCAACGCCGCGUGAGUGAUGAAGGCUUUCGGGUCGUAAAACUCUGUUGUUAGGGAAGAACAAGUACGAGAGUAACUGCUCGUACCUUGACGGUACCUAACCAGAAAGCCACGGCUAACUACGUGCCAGCCGCCGCCGUAAAAC
rnacentral:rRNA from 1 species